AGCGAACGCUGGCGGCAGGCUUAACACAUGCAAGUCGAGCGGGCGCUCACGGGGGUCAGCGGCGGACUGGUGGGUAACGGGGGGGAACGUGCGCUUUGGUUCGGAAUUACUUUGGGGAACUUGAUCUAAUAGCGGAAACGCCGCUAAGGCGGCAUGCUUGCUGCCGGAGGAGCGGCGGGCGCCUGAUUAGUUGGUUGGUGGGGUGACGCCGUAUCAAGGCGACGAUUAGUAGCUGGGCUGAGAGACUGAGCCGACACACUGGGGCUGGGACACGGCGCAGACUCCUACACGAGGGAGCCGUGGCGGAUAUUGGACAACGGGCGCGGUCCUGAUCCAGCCAUGCCGCGAGAGUGAUGAAGGCCUUAGGGUAGUAAAGCUCUUUUAUCCGGGACGAUAAUGACGGUACCGGAGGAAUAAGCCCCGGCUAACUUCGUG
rnacentral:rRNA from 1 species